AUUCAGUAUUCGAACGAGAACACAUAUGAAACUUUGCCCUCGACAGUUUUGAAUAAAACUUAACUAUUCAUAUUUAUUUAGGGGCUCAAUUAAGCAGAGGAAGUUUCCUUUGUAUUAUGAAUCUUUUAUUAUAUCGGAAAUUCGUUACCGGUUGAAUCAGCUGUUGGAUCGUUUUUUUUUACCGUCUCCCUAUCGUACGAGAACAUUAUGGUCAAUGGCAUUAUGCCUCAGUAGUUAAACAGGCCCAUUCGUUGUAGCAGGGACUUUCUAUACUAAGUAUAAUAUACUAGUAUAGAAAGUCCCUUGUUGUAGUUAUAUACAUGUCUGUUCAGCUUUCAACAGUAGGCGUUCAACAAUAUUGAAAUUCACGGUCC
rnacentral:lncRNA from 1 species